rnacentral:rRNA from 1 species
UACAGAGGUCUCAAGCGUUGUUCGGAUUCAUUGGGCGUAAAGGGUGCGUAGGCGGUAGCACAAGUCAGUUGUGAAAUCUCCGGGCUUAACUCGGAAAGGUCAACUGAUACUGCGCGGCUAGAGUGCAGAAGGGGCAACUGGAAUUCUCGGUGUAGCGGUGAAAUGCGUAGAUAUCGAGAGGAACACCUGCGGCGAAGGCGGGUUGCUGGGCUGACACUGACGCUGAUGCGCGAAAGCCAGGGGAGCGAACGGG